GUUUGAAUAAACACCUUUGCUACAAGACUCUGCUGGCUGAAAUCAGCAUUUUUUUUCAGAACCCAACAUCUUCUGGACAAGAAACAACAUUUCUUCAUGGAAGUUUCUGGAUGUUUGCCAUGAUGCCCCUCCUUUGGUGAAAAAGAAUAUGAUUUAUUUGAGAUCCGAAACAGGUUGGAGACAGCAAGAAUGAAACUAACAUGAUAGAACAGACCCUGGGAUGGAAGAGAGACAGUAGAAGUUAUCACAGAAAUGGCAGAUCAUUAUCUGGAACAAUUUCGAAUUGAGAACAGAUUCCAGAAUUGCCUUCAAUAAAGGCAAAAAAUGAGCAGAGUUUUACAGCAUCAACAGCCUGCUUGAGCACCGUAAGAGGGAGCAUAAUGUGAUUUUGGACUGUUCCUUUUCCUUAUGCUAUGUUAUUGAUUCUUGCCAGUUGGGCUACUGGUGGAAUAAAACAAAUGCUCUCUCUAAACUGUCAUUUCAUUACCCUUUUUAUACUAAUAUUGGAUAAUUAUUUAUAGUCAUGUAUGAGUCUAGAGGAGGUUUUAAGGCCAAAAUUAUGAUUUUUUAUAUGAUCUGUGAAGAGGAGAAGGCAAAAAUGCCACCUCAGGGGGGUGACACCCAGGCCACUCCCACUGCCACAUUUUCUCACCAAGGCAUUCAAAAAGGCUGGAAGCAUUGUCAUGGCAGGGAGAGUAGAAGGAGUCAGUGCUUCUUUUGGGUUCUCCUAGAUGGAACUAUUUCCUUCCACCUCUCUACUAAGAGAAAGUGUUGGUUCUUCUUCUUUUUUUUUUUUUAGUAAGAGUUACUCACAUUGACCUGUGGAAAAGUCAGCCCAGUUCUUUUGGGUUGAUUUUUUUUUUUACUAAAACGUCAAGACUUAUACACAAGUAUAUAGGAUAGUUAAAUAUUAACAAUUAAUUUAUUGAUACUCUCUAUUUGCCAUCCAGACUCAAGAGAUCAGAAACAUCAGAUGGAGGUUCUUCCUCUUCGCUUACUUGUCUGCCUGCCCACCUUUGUCAACUAUUCAGACUUAAUGCAGGGUGACACAUUGCCUUCCUUUCACUUUGGUCUUUUAGUUGCAGUAUGGAAGUUUCUAAAUACUGUGAAUGGAGAGGAGAAAACCAUCCCAGGACAAAACAGGAUGGCUCAACAGUCAGCAGAUUUUUAAAAAGCAAAAAUUACAGUUGACAAGCACAAAAUCACAAAACAUUAAUUCCAUGAUAACUUUCUAUCAUGCUUAUAUAUUUUACACAGCUAUGUUGAAAAAAAAACAAUUGUCAAGAAAAGGUCAGUGAAAAAAAUGCAAAUCAUGAUUUAGAUUUGCGGUCUGGAUUGUUUUUGCAUGCAACAUGAAUUGUGAUUUUGGGCUUCAUUCUGAAUUUGGGACCCUAUUCUCAAUCCUUCUAGAUAUGAUCCACAAGGAAUAAAUUUUCCAAUCAUGAUCUGAAAUAGAAGGAGACGCCUCUCUCAGUAUUUAAGUGGCAGGAUUUUCCAGACAUCUCAAUGUGCCUAAGAACAUUAACCCAAAUCCAGUUGUUAGUUCUACCAUUGAAUCAACUGAAUUUACGCAAUUAUUGCCUUCCACAAAUCAAAAGGGGCUACUUUAACAAUUAGAUUUUGGUUAUUCACAAUGAAUGUUCCAGUCAUGAUGUAAGCCUAUUACUUGAGCAUGCUGCAAUAUAUCAAUGUUAUGCUAGGGAAACACAGACAUUUGAUAGCAGUUUGCCAAUGACUUCCAAAUUACAUGACAUGACCUUUAAUUAAUAAGAAAAGAACACUAAAUUAUCUCCAGGAGACAUCAAUAUCAGCAGGGCUAAAGUACUUAAAGCAAAAUAUGAUUGUGUUAUUUUAAGAAUAUAACCCAUUACAUAUCAGGCUCCCUUUAUAUUUUAAAAUGGUGCAUGAAAUUCAGAAAAGUGGUAUUAUUUCCUGUUCUACCAGGGCAAUAGGGAAACACCAAAUAUUCUGUGAAACUUGUCCUCAGAUGCAUUGUAGUUGCUACCUGGCAAAAAUACAGCCAAACCAAAUAGCUUGAACAAAAGACCUAAACAUAGCAAAUCUCAAUAUUCAGAAGUUUAUAAGUGAUCCCACUAUACAGACCACCUCACACAAAAUACAUAAAACCUUUGUAUGUAGAUGAACAAUAUUACUUUACUGUAUAUGAGACAGCUUUCUGUGUUGUUAUAUUUGUAAACUUUUUCCAAUCUUGUAUAAUUCCUGCUCAAGAAAAUUGACUGAUAGUCAAAAUGCCAU